CGAUUGGCUGAUUGAGAUCGAGGCCGGAUCUGAUCACGUGACUGAAAAAACGCCCUCGGUCAACUGAUUAGAAAAGGGGAUGAGAGAGUUUUACAAUUGUGAAUGAAUGGGUCAUAAAGAUUGUCUUCUUGAAAAUAAAUGAUAAGCUGAGCCUCAUGUGUGAACACAGCGCCUCUAUCUUUCCCGUUCAAUUAACCAUCUGCGAGCAGCAGUGGCAGCGGCGUGACCGGCCAGUGUGAUGGUGCGAGCCCGGGGACCAGGACAGGAUGUUACCAUAUGUUCCCACUGUGAGCAACGUGAGCAACAAGUCACCAGAGGGCCAUUCGUUUCCA